GUGGGGAAUUUUGGACAAUGGGCGCAAGCCUGAUCCAGCAAUGCCGCGUGCAGGAAGAAGGCCUUCGGGUUGUAAACUGCUUUUGUACGGAACGAAACGGUCCUGGUUAAUACCUGGGGCUAAUGACGGUACCGUAAGAAUAAGCACCGGCUAACUACGUGCCAGCAGCCGCGGUAAUACGUAGGGUGCGAGCGUUAAUCGGAAUUACUGGGCGUAAAGCGUGCGCAGGCGGUGCUGUAAGACAGGCGUGAAAUCCCCGGGCUCAACCUGGGAAUUGCGAUUGUGAAUGCAGUGCUGGAGUACGGCAGAGGGGGAUGGAAUUCCGCGUGUAGCAGUGAAAUGCGUAGAUAUGCGGAGGAACACCGAUGGCGAAGGCAGUCCCCUGGGCCUGUACUGACGCUCAUGCACGAAAGCGUGGGGAGCAAACAGGAUUAGAUACCCCGGUAGUCC
rnacentral:rRNA from 1 species